GGCUCUGUAGUGAAGUUCAUAGUGAGUUGCAAGCUCAUUGAUGUGCAUUGAUUAUGUACCGGAGUCU
rnacentral:tRNA from 1 species